UACAGAGGUCUCAAGCGUUGUUCGGAUUCAUUGGGCGUAAAGGGUGCGUAGGCGGCGCGGUAAGUCGGGUGUGAAAUCUCGGAGCUUAACUCCGAAACUGCAUUCGAUACUGCCGUGCUUGAGGACUGGAGAGGAGACUGGAAUUCACGGUGUAGCGGUGAAAUGCGUAGAUAUCGUAAGGAAGACCAGUGGCGAAGGCGGGUCUCUGGACAGUUCCUGACACUGAGGCACGAAGGCCAGGGGAGCAAACGGG
rnacentral:rRNA from 1 species